CAGUCGCCGCGGGAAUACGUAGGGUGCGAGCGUUAAUCGGAAUUACUGGGCGUAAAGCGUGCGCAGGCGGUUGUGUAAGACAGGUGUGAAAUCCCCGGGCUUAACCUGGGAACUGCGCUUGUGACUGCACAGCUAGAGUAUGGCAGAGGGGGGCGGAAUUCCACGUGUAGCAGUGAAAUGCGUAGAGAUGUGGAGGAACACCGAUGGCGAAGGCAGCCCCCUGGGCCAAUACUGACGCUCAUGCACGAAAGCGUGGGGAGCAUACAGGAUUAGAUACCCCAGUAGUCCCUGUCUCUUAUAC
rnacentral:rRNA from 1 species